UUUAACAGAAAUAACAUCAAUAACAUUUAUUCAUAUAUCAACAAUAAAUGCAAAUUUGAAUACACAGUACAUUCAUAUAGAUAGUGAUAUAUAUGUACAAAUUUACAACAGUAAGGAGUAAGUACGAGAUGAACUGAUGCAAAGACUUUGGCAAAGGGAGUAAAUACAUAUCGGGAGACAUAACUUAUAUAAAAAGUAAACAAGAAUUC
ensembl:processed_transcript